rnacentral:tRNA from 1 species
UAGAAAGUAAUAUAAGGGGAGUAUGGAGGGUUUUGAUCUCUCUAGUGUGGGUUCGAUUCCUGCCUUUCUAA